rfam:Canis lupus familiaris chromosome 5, whole genome shotgun sequence.
GGGGGGAGGCCGGAUCCUGGGCUGUGUCCCGGCGCCCUGUGCUCCGGGGCCUGCGCUGUUGGAUUCGCGCUCCCGGUCCGCGCAGCCCCCU